rnacentral:rRNA from 1 species
GGGCAAGACCGGUGCCAGCCGCCGCGGUAAUACCGGCAGUCCAAGUGAUGGCCGAUAUUAUUGGGCAUAAAGCGUCCGUAGCUGGCUGUGCAAGUCCAUUGGGAAAUCGACGAGCUCAACGCGUCGGCGUCCAGUGGAAACUAUACAGCUUGGGGCCGAGAGACUCAACGGGUACGUCCGGGGUAGGAGUGAAAUCCUGUAAUCCUGGACGGACCACCAAUGGGGAAACCACGUCGAGAGGCCGGACCCGACAGUGAGGGACGAAAGCCAGGGUCUCGAACCGGAUUAGAUACCCGGGUAGUCCUGGCUGUAAACAAUGCUCGCUAGGUAUGUCACGGGCCAUGAGCAUGUGAUGUGCCGUAGUGAAGACGAUAAGCGAGCCGCCUGGGAAGUACGUCCGCAAGGAUGAAACUUAAAGGAAUUGGCGGGGGAGCACCACAACCGGAGGAGCCUGCGGUUUAAUUGGACUCAACGCCGGACAUCUCACCGGUCCCGACAGUAGUAAUGACGGUCAGGUUGACGACUUUACCCGACGCUACUGAGAGGAGGUGCAUGGCCGCCGUCAGCUCGUACCGUGAGGCGUCCUGUUAAGUCAGGCAACGAGCGAGACCCACACUUCUAGUUGCCAGCAAUACCCUUGAGGUGGUUGGGUACACUAGGAGGACUGCCGCUGCUAAAGCGGAGGAAGGAAUGGGCAACGGUAGGUCAGUAUGCCCCGAAUGGACCGGGCAACACGCGGGCUACAAUGGCUCUGACAGUGGGAUGCAACGCCGAGAGGCGAAGCUAAUCUCCAAACGGAGUCGUAGUUCGGAUUGCGGGCUGAAACCCGCCCGCAUGAAGCUGGAUUCGGUAGUAAUCGCGUGUCAGAAGCGCGCGGUGAAUACGUCCCUGCUCCUUGCACACACCGCCCGUCAAAGCACCCGAGUGGGGUCCGGAUGAGGCCGUCAUGCGACGUUCGA